GACGAACGCUGGCGGCAGGCCUAACACAUGCAAGUCGAACGAACUCUUCGGAUUAGUGGCGGACGGGUGAGUAACACGUGGGAACGUGCCUUUAGGUUCGGAAUAACUCAGGGAAACUUGUGCUAAUACCGAAUGUGCCCUUCGGGGGAAAGAUUUAUCGCCAUUAGAGCGGCCCGCGUUAGAUUAGCUAGUUGGUGGGG
rnacentral:rRNA from 1 species